GUGGUGGUAAUUUAGUGGUAAAAUUCUUGCCUUCCAAGCAGGAGACCCAGGCUCAAUUCCCAGCCAAUACA
rnacentral:tRNA from 1 species